rnacentral:misc_RNA from 1 species
UACGGAGGAUCCGAGCGUUAUCCGGAUUUAUUGGGUUUAAAGGGUGCGCAGGCGGGAGAUUAAGUCGGCGGUGAAAUUUUGCAGCUCAACUGUAAAAGUGCCUUCGAAACUGGUUUCCUUGAGUGUGGAUGAAGUAGGCGGAAUUUGUGGUGUAGCGGUGAAAUGCAUAGAUAUCACGAGGAACUCCGAUUGCGCAGGCAGCUUACUAAACCAUAACUGACGCUCAGGCACGAAGGCGUGGGGAUCAAACAGG